GAAGGGGGCUAGCGUUGCUCGGAAUUACUGGGCGUAAAGGGAGCGUAGGCGGAUAGUUUAGUCAGAGGUGAAAGCCCAGGGCUCAACCCUGGAAUUGCCUUUGAUACUGGCUAUCUUGAGUACGGGAGAGGUGUGUGGAACUCCGAGUGUAGAGGUGAAAUUCGUAGAUAUUCGGAAGAACACCAGUGGCGAAGGCGACACACUGGCCCGUUACUGACGCUGAGGCUCGAAAGCGUGGGGAGCAAACAGGAUUAGAUACCCUGGUAGUCCACGCUGUAAACGAUGAGUGCUAGUUGUCGGCAUGCAUGCAUGUCGGUGACGCAGCUAACGCAUUAAGCACUCCGCCUGGGGAGUACGGUCGCAAGAUUA
rnacentral:rRNA from 1 species